GGUCUUAUGGUCUAGUGGUAUGAUUCUCGCUUAGGGUGCGAGAGGCCCCGCGUUCGAGUCGCGGUAAGACCC
rnacentral:tRNA from 6 species